rnacentral:rRNA from 1 species
GAUGAACGCUGGCGGCGUGCCUAAUACAUGCAAGUCGAGCGAACAGACGAGGAGCUUGCUCCUUUGACGUUAGCGGCGGACGGGUGAGUAACACGUGUGUAACCUACCUAUAAGACUGGGAUAACUUCGGGAAACCGGAGCUAAUACCGGAUAAUAUUUCGAACCGCAUGGUUCGAUAGUGAAAGAUGGCUUUGCUAUCACUUAUAGAUGGACCUGCGCCGUAUUAGCUAGUUGGUAAGGUAACGGCUUACCACGGCAACGAUACGUAGCCGACCUGAGAGGGGGAUCGGCCACACGGGAACUGAGCCACGGUCCAGACUCCUACGGGAGGCAGCAGUAGGGAAUCGGCCGCAAUGGGCGAAAGCCUGACGGAGCAACGCCGCGUGAGUGAUGAAGGUCUUCGGAUCGUAAAACUCUGUUAUUAGGGAAGAACAAACGUGUAAGUAACUGUGCACGUCGUGACGGUACCUAAUCAGAAAGCCACGGCUAACUACGUG